rnacentral:rRNA from 1 species
UACGAAGGGGGCUAGCGUUGUUCGGAAUUACUGGGCGUAAAGCGCGCGCAGGCGGCUAUCCAAGUCAGUGGUGAAAGCCCGGAGCUCAACUCCGGAACUGCCAUUGAAACUGUUUAGCUUGAGGAUGAGAGAGGUGAGUGGAAUUCCCAGUGUAGAGGUGAAAUUCGUAGAUAUUGGGAAGAACACCGGUGGCGAAGGCGGGUCUCUGGGCCGAAACUGACGCUGAGGAGCGAAAGCGUGGGGAGCAAACAGG